AUCACAGAGCAAUAGGGAUUUUUCAGCUCCAAUUUAAUCUUAUAGGACCACCAUCGUAUAUACAAGAAGUCGGUGAUUGAUGCGUCAUUAUGCAGCUCACGACUGUGUGUUGAUCAAAAGGAAAAAAGGAAAGAAGAAAGAAAGGAAUGGUCAAUGUAAGAAAAGAACAGAAAAAAAUCUACAUCCGUGUGGUGUGUAUAGCCUAUAAGGAGGGCCACCUAGCCGGGAACUGAAGCCUCUUUCUUCAGCCACAGGAAUGGGUUUGAAAAGAGAUUGCCCAGUUCUCUUCAGAUAACUGCAGCCACGACUGACAACUUGGUGCAACUUCAUGAGAGAUGCUGAGCCACAACCACCCAGCUAGUUCAUGUACACAUUCCUAACCCUCAGAAACUGGAACUGUGACUGAACCUGUCAAGAAGAAAUUAACGAGGACUCGGGAUAAUUUCUUAAUGUACAAUUAGUGAGCAGUUUUCUUUUAUGGCUCCUUUACAAGUAGGAUAAUACAGAAAAUCAUCUACAAAGGAAACUCUAUUCUCCUGCUUAUAAUUAAUUUUGACGUUGUUAGCAAAUGUUUCCUUGCGAGCAUACUGACCUUACAAAUUUGUGUAUGAAAAUCAUGAAGAAAAUAUUUUUAAAGGGUUUAUUCUAAAGUCAUUAGUAGCUGAAUGACACGAUAUUUUAUAAAGUUUUUCAUGUUAAAUUGAGAUGUAAAGAUAAAUUACUACAGUAUAUAGUUCAUUGAAAAUUGCAUAGAGUAAAUUUAUAUAAACAGAAAUUAAUAGUUGUUAUACCUGUAUAUUUUGUCAUACUCCUUAUGUAGUUUUUCAAAUUUACUAACUACCUUGGUACCUGUGAUGCAUAUAUGCAUUAAAUAUUUACAAACAAUAUUUUAGUUUACUGAAUUGUUCAUUAUUAUUGUGUUGUAUUGACUAACGUGUAUUCAGAAUUUUUUAAAAUUAUAGGAAUUACUGUUGAUUGUGGAAGCCACAACUUUAAUCUAAUCCAUGUAAGUGUUUUCAAAGCUAAUGCAUCAAUGUUUUGAAUACAUGGCCCAAUAAUUGCUCAGUACAUGAUGAGUCUGUUGAACUUCAUGUAUUCUUCCAAAAAAUGGAAUCUGGUGUGCUGUAGAAACAGACUCAGUCAAAAGAAGGAGAUUGAGAGGGUCUUUGAAGCUGUAUCCACACAUGAGGGAAUGAAAUACUGCCUGUGAUCUUAAAAUGACAGC